rnacentral:rRNA from 1 species
AUUGAACGCUGGCGGCAGGCCUAACACAUGCAAGUCGAGCGGAUGAAGGGAGCUUGCUCCUGGAUUCAGCGGCGGACGGGUGAGUAAUGCCUAGGAAUCUGCCUGGUAGUGGGGGAUAACGUCCGGAAACGGGCGCUAAUACCGCAUACGUCCUGAGGGAGAAAGUGGGGGAUCUUCGGACCUCACGCUAUCAGAUGAGCCUAGGUCGGAUUAGCUAGUUGGUGGGGUAAAGGCCUACCAAGGCGACGAUCCGUAACUGGUCUGAGAGGAUGAUCAGUCACACUAGAACUGAGACACGGUCCAGACUCCUACGGGAGGCAGCAGUGGGGAAUAUUGGACAAUGGGCGAAAGCCUGAUCCAGCCAUGCCGCGUGUGUGAAGAAGGUCUUCGGAUUGUAAAGCACUUUAAGUUGGGAGAAAGGGCAGUAAGUUAAUACCUUGCUGUUUUGACGUUACCAACAGGAUAAGCACCGGCUAGCUUCGUG